rnacentral:rRNA from 1 species
UCCGAUAAGCCUAGUUGGGUGGGGGUAAAGGGCCCCCAAAGGCUUCAAUCAGUAGCUGUUCUUGAGAGGACGACCAGCACCACUGGAACUGAGGACACCGGUCCAGACUCCUACGGGAGGCAGCAGUGGGGGAAUUUUGGACAUGGGCGCAGCCUGAUCCAGCCAUCCGCGUGAGUGAAGAAGGCCUUCGGGUGUAAAGCUCUUUCGCAAGGGAAGAAAAGAUUACGCUCUAACAUAGCGUGAUUAUGACGGUACCUUGAUAAGAAGCACCGGCUAACUACGUGCCAGCAGCCGCGGUAAUACGUAGGGUGCGAGCGUUAAUCGGAAUUACUGGGCGUAAAGCGUGCGCAGGCUGUUUUGUAAGUCAGAUGUGAAAUCCCUGAGCUCAACUUAGGAACUGCGUUUGAAACUACAAGACUAGAAUAUGUCAGAGGGGGGUAGAAUUCCACGUGUAGCAGUGAAAUGCGUAGAGAUGUGGAGGAAUACCAAUGGCGAAGGCAGCCCCCUGGGAUAAUAUUGACGCUCAUGCACGAAAGCGUGGGGAGCAAACAGGAUUAGAUACCCUGGUAGUCCACGCCCUAAACGAUGUCUACUAGUUGUUGGUGGAGUAAAAUCCAUGAGUAACGCAGCUAACGCGUAAAGUAGACCGCCUGGGGAGUACGAUCGCAAGAUUAAAACUCAAAUGAAUUGACGGGGGCCCGCACAAGCGGUGGAUUAUGUGGAUUAAUUCGAUGCAACGCGAAAAACCUUACCUGGCCUUGACAUGUACGGAACUUUCCAGAGAUGGAUUGGUGCUCGAAAGAGAGCCGUAACACAGGUGCUGCAUGGCUGUCGUCAGCUCGUGUCGUGAGAUGUUGGGUUAAGUCCCGCAACGAGCGCAACCCUUGCCAAUAAUUGCUAUCAUUUAGUUGGGCACUUUAUUGGGACUGCCGGUGACAAACCGGAGGAAGGUGGGGAUGACGUCAAGUCCUCAUGGCCCUUAUGGCCAGGGCUUCACACGUAAUACAAUGGUCGGUACAGAGGGUCGCCAACCCGCGAGGGGGAGCUAAUCCCAGAAAGCCGAUCGUAGUCCGGAUUGCAGGCUGCAACUCGCCUGCAUGAAGUCGGAAUCGCUAGUAAUCGCGGAUCAGCAUCGCGUUCUAUGCACCAGA